CCAAUAGCGUAUAUUAAAGUUGUUGCAGUUAAAAAGCUCGUAGCUGAAUUUCGGGGCCAGUAGGUUGGUCGUGCCACUGGUAUGCACUGGCCUUACUGGUCCCUCCUUCUUGUAGAACCGUGAUGGCAUUAAUUUGUUGUUGCGGGGAAACAGGACUGUUACUUUGAAAAAAUUAGAGUGCUUAAAGCAGGCUCGCGCUUGAAUACAUUAGCAUGGAAUAACGGAAUAGGACGAUCGAACCUAUUUUGUUGGUUUAUAGGAUCGACGUAAUGAUUAAUAGGGAUAGUUGGGGGCAUUAGUAUUCAAUUGUAAGAGGUGAAAUUCUUGGAUUUAUUGAAGACUAACUACUGCGAAAGCAUUUGCCAAGGAUGUUUUCAUUAAUCAAGAACGAAAGUUAGGGGAUCGAAGACGAUCAGAUACCGUCGUAGUCUUAACCAUAAACUAUGCCGACUAGGGAUCGGAUGAAGUUAAUUUUUUAAUGACUCAUUCGGCGCCUUACG
rnacentral:rRNA from 1 species